GAGUUUGAUCCUGGCUCAGAUUGAACGCUGGCGGCAUGCCUUACACAUGCAAGUCGAACGGCAGCACGGGCUUCGGCCUGGUGGCGAGUGGCGAACGGGUGAGUAAUACAUCGGAACAUGUCCAGUAGUGGGGGAUAGCCCGGCGAAAGCCGGAUUAAUACCGCAUACGAUCUAUGGAUGAAAGCGGGGGAUCGCAAGACCUCGCGCUAUUGGGGUGGCCGAUGGCGGAUUAGGUAGUUGGUGGGGUAAAGGCCUACCAAGCCGACGAUCCGUAGCUGGUCUGAGAGGACGACCAGCCACACUGGGACUGAGACACGGCCCAGACUCCUACGGGAGGCAGCAGUGGGGAAUUUUGGACAAUGGGGGCAACCCUGAUCCAGCAAUGCCGCGUGUGUGAAGAAGGCCUUCGGGUUGUAAAGCACUUUUGUCCGGAAAGAAAUCCUUUGGGCUAAUACCCUAGGGGGAUGACGGUACCGGAAGAAUAAGCACCGGCUAACUACGUGCCAGCAGCCGCGGUAAUACG
rnacentral:rRNA from 1 species